rnacentral:lncRNA from 1 species
CAUGGGUGGGGCGAGGGUAAGACGGGCAGGUGGAGGAGAAGCUACAGGCUGCAGACAGUCAGAGGGGAGGAGGAGGAGGAGGAGGUGUGAAGAGGCAGAGGGGGAGGUAAGAGCUGAGGUGCGGCAUCCGGAAGAGUCUGUUUUAGUUGAUUUUGGUUCUGUAAAGUCACAAAAAAAUAUGUUGAACAUCUGGAGUCUGGUACAGCGAGGCAAGGGGAGCGAGGGGCCGCCGGAGAGCACGGGAGGGGAGGUCCUGAAGAAGACUAAUACCCCUGGAAGGAAGGAAAGAAGGAAACAAAGAUAGAAACACAAGUCAGUGGUGGAAAGUAGCCAAGUGCAUUUAAACUGCUAAGAGGGAAACUCCAGUAUUUUCAAACCUGGGCCCAAUAUUGAUAUGUUUCGGUGUGUAAAUGAUUCGUGUUUAGCAAAAGUUUUGGAAUCGGUACUCCAGAUUGCCAAAGAUGGCUGAAAUGUAAUCAUUUGGUGCAGUGCCGGCCCUGAGUAAUUUGGUGCCCUAGGCAAGAUCUUAGCCGGUGCCUUCUUGCAUUGCAGGCAAUUUCACAAUCAAUUUUCAUACACUCACACAGAAACUGGAUGUAUGAAUUCAAAAUUGUAUUUCUUUUAAGUCAAAAAUAUCACACCAAAUAAGGAAAGAAACAAGUGAUAAAAAUACAAUAUAAAUAAGGCAUUACGCAAACAUUUUAUCUCUCAGCCUCAGAGUGCCAUCUCUCUCUUAUCUAUUGUCAGCCGCUUUGCAAAACGACCUCCAGCUCCGACCAUGUUGCCAUGUGGGUAUUGUGCUCCCGGCUAUCUUCAUGAACCUUCAGAAAGUGGCUUGCAUUUUUCCAGUCCUUUAGUCCUUCCUUAAUAAGUCUGUAUACUUUUGGAGAAAACAUUUAGCCGCAGAAGCAGUGCAAGCUACUGGGGCAACUGUGAGCGACGAGGGUACGUCCACUCAAAGUGCAGGCUGAGUUCUUUAUCCCAAGACAUUACAGAAACGAUCCCUACAGAAAGAAACCUUUUUUUGUCAAGUAGUGAGAUCCAAUUUGUGACCAGAAAGGUCUCCUUCUGGAUUCUCGACAGCGGAGUUGCUGCAGGAAGACGACAGAGAUGAGUUUGGAGUUUACGUUGAGAAACUGCGAGCAGUAAAUUAUUCUCAAACUCAUGGCUGAAUGCUUAAAGGAGCUCGUCUCCUUUAACAAGACUUGUGUUUCUUGUCACAAAAAGGAUAUUAUUAUUAAGAAAAAAGGUCUCUCUCUGUAGGAAUCAUUUCCAAAUUACAAGCAGGAGAAGUUACGCGAACGGUCGCAGUUGCCCCAAAGGAUUUCAUUGCAGCAGUAUCGACUCAGAUCGACUGGACUGAUAGAAACCUUUUGCUUCUUAUGAAUAUUUUAAAUAAAACAUGUACCUAUUGGGCCCAGGUUUAAAAAUACUGGAAUUCCCCUGAAAGUACAAUUUCGAGGUACAUUUUAUGCUGCUAUGUACUUCUACUGUGUGGUUGAAGUAAUCCGACCAUUUAGAGUAGAAGUAGUACACUUUAAAAACCAGUGUUUUACUAUGACAUGAUGUUUAACCUUGCCUAGAAGCAACGGUAAAAGGCUUCUUACACACUAAAGCAUCAGUAUCAACAAUCUAAUAAUGUCACACAGAGUAAAAUAUGGGACAUAUUUAUCAAAAUGCUUUUACGUUAAGGUUUUGGUGCUUUCACUUAUGUAAAGCCUCCGAAGGGUUAGGCAGCAAACUGUACGCUAAAAUCAAAAGUGAAAGCACUCCUCAGAACAAUGGUCCCUGUCAGAAAGUUAAGGCGUUGCCCAUUACCUGGGAACCUGUUUACUCACCUCUCCUCCUUCCCCACCCUGUUCCAUUCCUCCAUAUUCGCCCUGUCAGAGGAAAUGAGAAGAACAAAUCAGUCUCAAAUAAACACAAACAGGUGGAGCAGGUUUGUCUGAGAUGGUAAAAGGAUGAGGUGAUGGCAGGGUGGAGGGCCUCAAGCACCAAUCUCCUUCUAGCUUUGACUUUCCUCCAGCUCUGAUAUAACAAAGCGUUAAGACUACAGUGACCAUGCUUUCGGGUCAAGUUGACUCUUGCCAUCAUGCUUCAGAUGUUCCCCGGGGGUCUGUUAGUCAGAUUAAAGCAUCACAGCAUGUUAAGAGGCUCCUAGUGCAUGCCAUGAAUACAUUAACUGCUUUAUCUUGCGUGCUGGAGAUGCGGCUGAGAGCGUAAGUGUCGCUUAACGCUACACGGAGGAGCUACAUGGUUAGAAAUGGGAGAAUUUUUAGUAUUAUCAACCUUAAUCACACAAAUGAGCGAGCGUCUAAGAGGUCGGGGGGAAUCAGUUUGCUCUAUUCAGAGGAAGAAACUGUGAAUUAGUGCUUGAUUAAGUUUGAUUCAAUGGAAGCUUUUAUUGUUGGCUGCCAAACGUGGCAGUAAUUCAGCCAAACGUGUCUGCAAACCACAGAUUUGUUCACAUUUGUACGUGCAAUAUUGACAUUUUUAGAAAAAUUUUCAUUAUUUUUUUGAUGUUACAUGUUUAUGACCUGACUGUGAAAUCAGGAGGUGGAGAGGACGAUGGCCGGGUUUGCCGGCGAGGAAGCUGCCAAGCCACUGACCACAGUUCAAGACCAUGUUUCAACUUCUCUUAGGAGGAAAACCACUGGAUAUUUUUAAGGUGACCUCCGGACAAUUUGUAGCCGUGUUUGUGGUGACCAAAACACAUUUUCCUCACACUAACAGAGUGUUAUUUGUGCCUAAACCUGAUCUGAUAUUGUCAGCAAAGUGCUGUCGCAAAAUUAUGUAGAAAACUGAACCUCAAGAAAUAUAAAGUUGACUUUUACACUUUAUGGAAAUUUCAUGGUAGUAGGUGGUAAUUACGACACAACAGAUUUUAAAUUUUCGUUGAAAUUACCCCAAAAUUACUACAAUAAUAAGAAAAAAAUGUAUAGAAAAUUACCUCCAUAUAUUUCGAUAAUGAUAUUCUAUUAAGCUGCACCAAAUCACUUCACGUUAGUGGCCUUCUGAGGGGAAGUUGGAGGGAAACUAGUUGGAAGUUAAACUGUGACAUCUAACUAUAGUUUAGUGGCCUGCUGAGGGGAAGUUGGACGGAAACUAGUUGGAUGUUAAAUUGUCUCACUUUAGUUUAGUGGCCUGCUGAGGGUAAGUUGGACAGAAACUAGUUGAAAGUUAAACUGUCUCACUUUAGCUUAGUGGCCUGCUGAGGGGAAGUUGGACGGAAAGUAGUUGGAAGUUAAACUGUGACAUCUCACUUUAGUUUAGUGGCCUGCUAAAGGGGAAGUUGGACGGAAACUAGUUGGAUGUUAAAUUGUCUCACUUAAGUUUUGUUGCCUGCUGAGGGGAAGUGAGACACAAACUAGUUGGAAGUUAAAGUGUCUGAACUAGUUCAGUGGCCUGCUGAGGGGGAGUUGGGUGGAAACUAGUUGGAUGUUAAACUGUCUCACUUUAGUUUAGUGGCCUGCUGAGGGGAAGUGAGACACAAACUAGUGGGAAGUUAAAGUGUCUGA